rnacentral:rRNA from 1 species
UAGGGAAUCUUCGGCAAUGGACGGAAGUCUGACCGAGCAACGCCGCGUGAGUGAAGAAGGUUUUCGGAUCGUAAAGCUCUGUUGUAAGAGAAGAACGAGUGUGAGAGUGGAAAGUUCACACUGCGACGGUAUCUUACCAGAAAGGGACGGCUAACUACGUGCCAGCAGCCGCGGUAAUACGUAGGUCCCGAGCGUUGUCCGGAUUUAUUGGGCGUAAAGCGAGCGCAGGCGGUUAGAUAAGUCUGAAGUUAAAGGCUGUGGCUUAACCAUAGUACGCUUUGGAAACUGUUUAACUUGAGUGCAAGAGGGGAGAGUGGAAUUCCAUGUGUAGCGGUGAAAUGCGUAGAUAUAUGGAGGAACACCGGUGGCGAAAGCGGCUCUCUGGCUUGUAACUGACGCUGAGGCUUGAAAGCGUGGGGAGCAAACAGGAUUAGAUACCCUGGUAGUCCACGCCGUAAACGAUGAGUGCUAGGUGUUAGACCCUUUCCGGGGUUUAGUGCCGCAGCUAACGCAUUAAGCACUCCGCCUGGGGAGUACGACCGCAAGGUUG